CCCCCGCCCCUGAUGUACCGUAGAACUGGCUGCCUCUUCACCAUGUACCCUGUCAGAAGAGCAAGACUGGGCUUGUGCUUCUCAUCUAUAUCUCUGAAACCACCAGAGAAUCUGUAGUGGAGACUGUAACCUGACGACUUGGCCGAAGAACUGAGAGAACCAGAUCAGACAGCUGAGGGGAUUGUGGUUCCGGUGAUUGAGGACUCUCCAAAAUGUGUUCUGUUGGCUGAGGCAACACAGUCGAAAUACGACGGGGUGGGCUUAAUGUUUCUGUUCGUGCCACAUCAGGACGACGUCUCUUGGUAGGCCUGUUCGUGUGGCUGCCAGACCCCUGCAAAGGACUUCUUUGUGGACUGUGAUGCGAUGUAGAAGUUCCUAUGGGAUAAAUCAAACAUUAGAAUGUUUGUUAAUUUUGUUGUGCAAACAUUCAGUGCUGCCAAUUUUUGCUUACCUGUAUCGCUAGCAUCCACAGCUCUUGCCAGUGUUGCUUGUCUCCUGGAAGUGGUGGCUUGCUUUUGUACUGUAAAAAUGAGAAGUUUGUGAUUAUUACCAAUAUUUACAUUGUUUAC